UCAAAACUUGAAAGUAUUGAUCGUGACGCAACGGAUAUGACGAAAAUUUCAUUAUUUAUCGAAAGUAAAUAUAACAACAACAACAACAACAACAACAACAACAAUAAUAAUACAUUAUAACGAUAAAGUCGAUCGGUAUUUUUUUUUUUUCCUUUUGAAAUUUCCCGCCAAUAAGGAUCGAAUUGAAAACUUGUACUGAUAAUAUCUGCGGUAAGAGGAAUAAAGAAAGAAAAAAGCUUGUUUCUCGAGUUUUUCUUCGCACGUUAAAUCGACUUACGUAUUUACAACGUUUCAUAAACGUUUGCAAAGUUUCGUCGUAGGCUUCUUUCGCAAGAAGCAAGAAGGAAGAACCGCGAAGUGCUAUCGUCGUUCGUCGUUCGCUAGCGGUGCCAGAGGCGGGGGUUAUCAUGUAGGCCACGUGACGUCAUAUCGUGCUCUGCCGCCAACAAAAUGGCCGCCGUUGUAUCUCGGUAGCGGGUCAGAGCGGAACAGUAAAAAUUUCCUUCUCGUAACUAACUAAGUAAGUGGAUUUCGUUCGGCGUCGGGGCGUUCGAAAAUUGGUAUUGGCGUGGCCUGGAGCGGCAGCAGCCGCAGCACCAGCAGCAACAGCAGCAACAGCAGCGAUAGUAGUACCAGCAGCGAUGGAAGCACCAGUACCGGGAGUUUCUACUUGGAACGGCGGUACCGGGGGUAUGGCAAGAGCGUAACUAUAAUGAAGGCAACCCCCGUUCGUCCCACAACACCCCUCGACAUCGCCACUGCCAUCCCUGCUGCCACCCGCCGCCUCGUUGGCCAACCGCCCCUUUCUCUCUCUAUCUCUAUCUGGCUCGCUCUCUCUCUCAUUCUCUCUCACUCUCUCUCUC